rnacentral:rRNA from 1 species
AGAGGUUGAUUCUGGCUCAGGAUGAACGCUGGCGGCGUGCUUAACACAUGCAAGUCGAGCGAAGCGAUUUGACGGAAGUUUUCGGAUGGAAGUCAGAUUGACUGAGCGGCGGACGGGUGAGUAACGCGUGGGUAACCUGCCUCAUACAGGGGGAUAACAGUUAGAAAUGACUGCUAAUACCGCAUAAGCGCACAGUGCCGCAUGGUACGGUGUGAAAAACUCCGGUGGUAUGAGAUGGACCCGCGUCUGAUUAGCUGGUUGGUGGGGUAACGGCCUACCAAGGCGACGAUCAGUAGCCGACCUGAGAGGGUGACCGGCCACAUUGGGACUGAGACACGGCCCAAACUCCUACGGGAGGCAGCAGUGGGGAAUAUUGCACAAUGGGGGAAACCCUGAUGCAGCAACGCCGCGUGAGUGAAGAAGUAUUUCGGUAUGUAAAGCUCUAUCAGCAGGGAAGAAAAUGACGGUACCUGACUAAGAAGCCCCGGCUAACUACGUGCCAGCAGCCGCGGUAAUACGUAGGGGGCAAGCGUUAUCCGGAUUUACUGGGUGUAAAGGGAGCGUAGACGGCGAGACAAGUCUGAAGUGAAAGCCCGGGGCUCAACCCCGCGGACUGCUUUGGAAACUGCCUUGCUGGAGUGUCGGAGAGGUAAGUGGAAUUCCUAGUGUAGCGGUGAAAUGCGUAGAUAUUAGGAGGAACACCAGUGGCGAAGGCGGCUUACUGGACGAUAACUGACGUUGAGGCUCGAAAGCGUGGGGAGCAAACAGGAUUAGAUACCCUGGUAGUCCACGCCGUAAACG